rnacentral:rRNA from 1 species
CUCAGAUCAUGUAAGAUUUUAAUGAUCGAACAGAUCAAAAUUUUAAACUUUUGCACUUAAAUUUUAUCUUAAUCCAACAUCGAGGUCGCAAACUUUUUUUUUUAUUUGAACUAAAAAAAAAUAUUACGCUGUUAUCCCUAAGGUAAUUUUUUCUUAUAAUCAUUAUUAAUGGAUCAUUUAAUCAUUUAUUUAUGUUUAAUUUUUAAAAAAAGUUAAUUUAAUUUUUCUAUCACCCCAAUAUAAUAAUUAAUUUUAUUUUAAUAAAAAUUUUUAUAUAAUUUUAAAAUAAAAAUAAAUAUAAAACUCUAUAGGGUCUUCUCGUCUUUUAAAAUUAUUUUAGCUUUUUAACUAAAAAAUAAAUUUCUAAAAAUAAAUAAGAGACAGUUUAUAUUUCAUCAAAUCUUUCAUACAAGUUUUCAAUUAAAAAACUAUUGAUUAUGCUACCUUUGUACAGUCAUUAUACUGCAGCCCUUUAAUAUUUAUCAGUGGGCAGAUUAGACUUUAAAUUAUACUCAAAAAG